rnacentral:rRNA from 1 species
GGGGACCAUCCUCCAAGGCUAAAUACUCCUGACUGACCGAUAGUGAACCAGUACCGUGAGGGAAAGGCGAAAAGAACCCCGGCGAGGGGAGUGAAAAAGAACCUGAAACCGUGUACGUACAAGCAGUGGGAGCCUCUUUUAUGGGGUGACUGCGUACCUUUUGUAUAAUGGGUCAGCGACUUAUAUUCUGUAGCAAGGUUAACCGAAUAGGGGAGCCGAAGGGAAACCGAGUCUUAACUGGGCGUUAAGUUGCAGGGUAUAGACCCGAAACCCGGUGAUCUAGCCAUGGGCAGGUUGAAGGUUGGGUAACACUAACUGGAGGACCGAACCGACUAAUGUUGAAAAAUUAGCGGAUGACUUGUGGCUGGGGGUGAAAGGCCAAUCAAACCGGGAGAUAGCUGGUUCUCCCCGAAAGCUAUUUAGGUAGCGCCUCGUGAAUUCAUCUCCGGGGGUAGAGCACUGUUUCGGCAAGGGGGUCAUCCCGACUUACCAACCCGAUGCAAACUGCGAAUACCGGAGAAUGUUAUCACGGGAGACACACGGCGGGUGCUAACGUCCGUCGUGAAGAGGGAAACAACCCAGACCGCCAGCUAAGGUCCCAAAGUCAUGGUUAAGUGGGAAACGAUGUGGGAAGGCCCAGACAGCCAGGAUGUUGGCUUAGAAGCAGCCAUCAUUUAAAGAAAGCGUAAUAGCUCACUGGUCGAGUCGGCCUGCGCGGAAGAUGUAACGGGGCUAAACCAUGCACCGAAGCUGCGGCAGCGACGCUUAUGCGUUGUUGGGUAGGGGAGCGUUCUGUAAGCCUGUGAAGGUGUGCUGUGAGGCAUGCUGGAGGUAUCAGAAGUGCGAAUGCUGACAUAAGUAACGAUAAAGCGGGUGAAAAGCCCGCUCGCCGGAAGACCAAGGGUUCCUGUCCAACGUUAAUCGGGGCAGGGUGAGUCGACCCCUAAGGCGAGGCCGAAAGGCGUAGUCGAUGGGAAACAGGUUAAUAUUCCUGUACUUGGUGUUACUGCGAAGGGG